rnacentral:rRNA from 1 species
CGCUGGCGGCAGGCCUAACACAUGCAAGUCGAGCGGUAGAGAGAAGCUUGCUUCUCUUGAGAGCGGCGGACGGGUGAGUAAUGCCUAGGAAUCUGCCUGGUAGUGGGGGAUAACGUUCGGAAACGGACGCUAAUACCGCAUACGUCCUACGGGAGAAAGCAGGGGACCUUCGGGCCUUGCGCUAUCAGAUGAGCCUAGGUCGGAUUAGCUAGUUGGUGAGGUAAUGGCUCACCAAGGCGACGAUCCGUAACUGGUCUGAGAGGAUGAUCAGUCACACUGGAACUGAGACACGGUCCAGACUCCUACGGGAGGCAGCAGUGGGGAAUAUUGGACAAUGGGCGAAAGCCUGAUCCAGCCAUGCCGCGUGUGUGAAGAAGGUCUUCGGAUUGUAAAGCACUUUAAGUUGGGAGGAAGGGUUGUAGAUUAAUACUCUGCAAUUUUGACGUUACCGACAGAAUAAGCACCGGCUAACUCUGUGCCAGCAGCCGCGGUAAUACAGAGGGUGCAAGCGUUAAUCGGAAUUACUGGGCGUAAAGCGCGCGUAGGUGGUUUGUUAAGUUGGAUGUGAAAUCCCCGGGCUCAACCUGGGAACUGCAUUCAAAACUGACUGACUAGAGUAUGGUAGAGGGUGGUGGAAUUUCCUGUGUAGCGGUGAAAUGCGUAGAUAUAGGAAGGAACACCAGUGGCGAAGGCGACCACCU